AUGCUGGUCAGGAGCGCGUCCACGCCGGUGCUCGGCGCGCUGCACGCCACCUCCGGCGCCGGCGGCCACUCGCCGGCCGUCCACUUCGCCGAGUCCUCGCCCACGGUCGCCUACCACCCGCCGGCCAUCUCUUGCAGCCUGUCCGCCGGCGGUGGCGGCGGCUCGGCCUCAGACCACGAGCGCUCCCGCGGAGGCGGGGGCGGCCUGCGCCGCGCGUGCUCGGACGGCAACCUCGCCGCGCUGGGCGGCCGCGCGGAGGACCACCACCACCUGCCGCCGCGGCCCAGGCCGGCGCUCGAGACGAUCCGGUCGUUCACGGCGCGCGACGGGGCCAGGGGCGAGGAGGAGGAGGAGGACGAUGACCAAGAGACGAGCUUUGGGCAGUUCGGCUUCGGCAGCACGUACGCGCAGGAGCACCCGCUGUUCCUGGCCAGGGGCCUCGGGAUCGACCGGCUGGGCUCGGGCCUGCUGAGCGCCGACUGCGGGGGCGGCAUCGACGGCGGCUCCGGGGGAGGCUACCUGGUAGCCUCCGGCGGCGGGGGAGGGGACCGCUCCGGCAUCGAGAUCCACUACAAGAGGCUCAUCGAGGAGGACCCCUGCAACGGCCUCUUCCUCAGGAACUACGCGCAGUUCCUCUACCAGGUGAAAGGGGAUCGGCGUAGGGCGGAGGAGUACUACUCCCGCGCGAUCCUGGCGGACCCCAACGACGGCGAGCUGCUGUCGGAGUACGCCAGGCUGGUGUGGGAGGUGCACGGCGACGAGGAGCGCGCCUCCAGCUACUUCCACCGGGCGGCCAGGGCCGACCCGCACAACAGCCACGUCCUCGCCGCGCAGGCCGCCUUCCUGUGGGACACCGACGAUGGCGCCGGGCCCGAGGACGACGAUGCCACGAGCUACGCCGGGUUCCUGGCCGCUCACCCGUCCAUGGCUUCCGCCACGAGCUGA
rnacentral:rRNA from 1 species